GAGUUUGAUCUUGGCUCAGAUUGAACGCUGGCGGCAGGCCUAACACAUGCAAGUCGAGCGGAUGACGGGAGCUUGCUCCUUGAUUCAGCGGCGGACGGGUGAGUAAUGCCUAGGAAUCCUGCCUGGUAGUGGGGGACAACGUUUCGAAAGGAACGCUAAUACCGCAUACGUCCUACGGGAGAAAGCAGGGGACCUUCGGGCCUUGCGCUAUCAGAUGAGCCUAGGUCGGAUUAGCUAGUUGGUGGGGUAAUGGCUCACCAAGGCGACGAUCCGUAACUGGUCGUGAGAGGAUGGUCAGUCACACUGGAACUGAGACACGGUCCAGACUCCUACGGAGGCAGCAGUGGGAAUAUUGGACAAUGGGGGCAACCCUGAUCCAGCCAUGCCGCGUGAGUGAAGAAGGCCUCGG
rnacentral:rRNA from 1 species